GAAAUAUUCCAAAUUUAAGCUUCUAACUUAAAAUAAAGCAAUUAUUGUUUAUAUUUCU
rnacentral:tRNA from 1 species